GAUGAACGCUGGCGGCGUGCCUAAUACAUGCAAGUAGAACGCUGAAGGAAGGAGCUUGCUCUUUCCGGAUGAGUUGCGAACGGGUGAGUAACGCGUAGGUAACCUGCCUGGUAGCGGGGGAUAACUAUUGGAAACGAUAGCUAAUACCGCAUAACAGUAGAUGUUGCAUGAUAUCUACUUAAAAGGUGCAAUUGCACCACUAGCAGAUGGACCUGCGUUGUAUUAGCUAGUUGGUGAGGUAACGGCUCACCAAGGCGACGAUACAUAGCCGACCUGAGAGGGUGAUCGGCCACACCGGGACUGAGACACGGCCCAGACUCCUACGGGAGGCAGCAGUAGGGAAUCUUCGGCAAUGGACGGAAGUCUGACCGAGCAACGCCGCGUGAGUGAAGAAGGUUUUCGGAUCGUAAAGCUCUGUUGUAAGAGAAGAACGAGUGUGGGAGUGGAAAGUUCACUCUGUGACGGUAUCUUAACAGAAAGGGACGGCUAACUACGUG
rnacentral:rRNA from 1 species